GUGGCCGGCAUCGCGGGCGCACUGGUAGCCACAUUCGCUAUGUGCGGUCCGUCCGCAGUCUUUGCCUAUUUCGUCAGCAACAUGCUGACGCGGUCAAGCCAAUCCAUCUGGCCCGCGAUCCUUCAGGCCGCGCUGGUUCCGGUCUCGAUCGGGCUGAUGUGCGCCAGCGGCUUUGUUCUCGCAUUAACGACCGGCGGCACGUGGGUCGGGGCGGCCCUUAUUAUUGGCGCGGCGGCGCUUGCAUUGGCGACCCGGCUCAACCCGCUAUGGAUGCUGAUUGUGGGCGGCAUUCUCGGUUUUGCUGGCGUCGUCUG
rnacentral:misc_RNA from 1 species